UCAAAGAUUAAGCCAUGCAUGCCUCAGUAUAAGCAACUUGUACUUGUAAAACUGCGAAUGGCUCAUUAAAUCAGUUAUAAUUUAUUUGAUAGUGGUUUUACUACAUGGAUAGCCGUAGUAAUUCUAGAGCUAAUACAUGCAAUAAAGCCCGACUCGUUGAGGGAAGGGUUGUAUUUAUUAGGUCCAAAACCAACGAAAGGGAUCCUGUUUAAGGAGGGUUUUUUUUUAAUUGAAAGGAAGGAAAAGGAUAUGAAAGAAGGGCUUCGGUUCUUUUUUCGUGUCUUUUUUUUUUUUUUUUUUUAAAAGAAUCUUCCGAAGGGUCUCGAAUCGAUGGUGAUUCAUGAUAAAUGUCGAAUCGAAUUUAUAUUCGAUGUGUCAUUCAAAUUUCUGCCCUAUCAACUUGUUGGUAGGAUAGAGGCCUACCAAGGUUUUGACGGGUAACGGAGGAUUAGGGUUCGAUCCCGGAGAGGGAGCCUGAGAAAUGGCUACUACUUCUAAGGAAGGCAGCAGGCGCGCAAAUUACCCAAUCCCAACCAUGUUGGGGAGGUAGUGACAAAAAAUACCAAUGCUGGAUCUUUUUUAGGGUUCAGUAAUUGGAAUGGUUUGGAAGCAAAUCUUCCAUAGAGCAGCCAUUAGAGGGCAAGUCUGGUGCCAGCAGCCGCGGUAAUUCCAGCUCUAAUAGUGUAUACUAAAAUUGCUGCAGUUAAAAAGCUCGUAGUUGGAUUUAGGAUGGAACAAGAUACCUUACUUUGCUGUAUGCGUCUGUUGCGUGUAGCUCUUGAUUUCAUGAGGGCUCGCGUGACGUGUCAUAUGGUCGUAAUGGUUGUUCCGUCCCUGCCUUUUAUGGCAUUAUUUUUCGGAAGUGCCUUAUCCCCUUCAUUGGGUGAUAGGGCAUUUUCGGAGGAUUUACUUUGAAGAAAUUGUAGUGUUCAAAGCAGGCGUUUCGCAGCUGAACACAUUAGCAUGGAAUAAUAAAAUAGGACAUCUGAGUUAGGUACUUACCUUUCUAUUCGCCAGUAAUCUUCCAAGUAUACUCCCAUGGAGUUUUUAAUUCCUUCCUUUUCACUUACCUGCAGCGAAAAGAAAGAAAGAUUCCAAGCUUUUCAAAAGGAUGCUAAUUUUAUACUUUGUAAAGGCUUUUUUUCUUUUAAAAGAAGACUUUUUGGAGGUUCUUUUCCUUCUACCAAGGAGGAGGAGAGCUGAAGGAGGUUUUUUUUUUUUUUUGGAAGAAGGUUUAUUUAUGGAGAUGUAAGAUUUGUCAUUCUUGGAGAGUAUUUGGGUUUUUAUUUUCUUUUUGUUUGUUUGUUUGUUUGGAAAGGAAUGGUAUCUUCAUGGCUUUGGGUAUGCUUGAGAUUACUUUUGGUAGGCUUAUUAAUAGCCUUUAAAGGAUGAAAGGAGAGAGGCUUAGCUAUCAUGUAUGUAUAUCUAUUUUGUUGGUUCAUAGAGAAGGUGUAAUGAUUAAUAGGGACAGUUGGGGGCAUCCGUAUUGCAUUGUCAGAGGUGAAAUUCUUGGAUUUAUGCAAGACGAACUAGUGCGAAAGCAUUUGCCAAGGAUGUUUUCAUUAAUCAAGAACGAAAGUUAAGGGAUCGAAGGCGAUCAGAAACCGCCGUAGUCUUAACUAUAAACUAUACCAACUAGGGAUUGGAGAGUGUUUUAUAAUAGCCUCGUCAGCACCUUUAGAGAAAUCAAAGUCUCUGGGUUCUGGGGGGAGUAUGGUCGCAAGGCUGAAACUUAAAGAAAUUGGCGGAAGGGCACCACCAGGUGUGGAGCCUGCGGCUUAAUUCGACUCAACACGGGGAAGCUCACCAGGUCCAGACACGGGAAGGAUUGACAGAUUGAUAGCUCUUUCUUGAUUCUGUGGGUGGUGGUGCAUGGUCGUUCUUAGUUGGUGGAGUGAUUUGUCUGGUUAAUUCCGAUAACGAACGAGACCUUAACCUGCUAAAUAGCUCAGCCUCAAAAGUUUCUUUUGAGGUUUUUGUAUUUCUUCUCCUUUUUUUUUUUUCUUUUUUUUUUUUUUCCUUUUCGGUGUGUGUGCCUUGAGGAGUAGGUGGCCUUUAUUGGUCGCUUGUUUCUUAGGGCUGCGUGCUAGAAGGGAAGAGAGAGAGAGAGGGAUGAAAGAGAAGGGAGAGGGGAUCUUGUAAAAGAGCUUCUUAGAGGGACUACCAUGGUUGCACAUGGUGGAAGCUUGAGGCAAUAACAGGUCUGUGAUGCCCUUAGAUGUCCUGGGCCGCACGCGCGCUACAAUGAUGCAGUCAACAAGGUUGUGCUGUCCCGUAAGGGUUGGCUAAUCUUUUUAGUCUGCAUCGUACUGGGGAUUGAUCUUUGUAAUUUUGGAUCAUGAACCAGGAAUACCUCGUAAGCGCAUGUCAUCAGCAUGCGCUGAUUACGUCCCUGCCCUUUGCACACACCGCCCGUCGCUCCUACCGAUUGAAUGAUCAGAUGAAAUGCUCGGAUGCGUGGCGCGCUAUUCCUUUACGGGAAUGGUGAGCUGUGCAGAAGAGUAGUGAAUCUUAUUAUUUAGA
rnacentral:rRNA from 1 species